UUUAGACUAAACAAGCACUAACUAGCCCACCAACUAGACUAAAAGAUAUUCGAUUAGGGUACAGCCCUAUCGAAAACGGAUACAACCUAAGCUAGUGGCCCAGAGACUAAACACCCUAUUCAGUGGGCCUUAAAGCCGCCACCAAUAAAUAGAGCGUCAUAGCACAACACCUUAGAUACCAACAAUCUAAACAAACCCCUAGCAAGCCACCGAGCCGUACUAUACCCAUAGUAGUACUAAUGCUAAAACUAGUAACAAGAAAACUUCUCUCGACACCCCUAUGACCCAGAAAUAGAAGACCUACUGGAUGUUAACAGACCAAAAUAGGGACACUAAACUGUCAAACCGACACAGGAGUGCCACAAAGAAGGUUAAAAACUAUAUAAGGAACUCGGCAACCUUCCUGUUCCAACUGUUUACCAAAAACACAGCCUUUAGCCGAACAAGUAUUAAAGGUGCUGCCUGCCCAGUGAAAUUUUUAAACGGCCGCGGUAUCCUAACCGUGCAAAGGUAGCGUAAUCACUUGUCUUUUAAAUAAAGACUGGUAUGAAAGGCUAAAUGAGAACAGACCUGUCUCUUAUAGUUAGCCAGUGAAACUGAUCUUCAAGUACAAAAGCUUGGAUAAACACAUAAGACGAGAAGACCCGUGGAGCUUUAAACCAACCCUAUAAAUCAAAAUAAGUAUGCGGUUUUAAGUUGGGGCGACUUCGGAAUAAAACGAGACUUCCGAGCACAGAGCCAAACCCCUCACACCUAGAUCCAAGAUCAAAGAAAACACCGACCCAGUAAUACUGAGCAACGAACCAAGUUACCCCAGGGAUAACAGCGCCAUCUUCUUCAAGAGGCCCUAUCGACAAGAAGGUUUACGACCUCGAUGUUGGAUCAGGACACCCAAAUGGUGCAGCAACUAUUAAAGGUUCGUUUGUU
rnacentral:rRNA from 1 species